rnacentral:rRNA from 1 species
GGGGCGGGGCGGGGUGCUAUACAUGCAAGUCGAGCGACGGACGAGAAGCUUGCUUCUCUGAUGUUAGCGGCGGACGGGUGAGUAACACGUGGAUAACCUACCUAUAAGACUGGGAUAACUUCGGGAAACCGGAGCUAAUACCGGAUAAUAUUUUGAACCGCAUGGUUCAAAAGUGAAAGACGGUCUUGCUGUCACUUAUAGAUGGAUCCGCGCUGCAUUAGCUAGUUGGUAAGGUAACGGCUUACCAAGGCAACGAUGCAUAGCCGACCUGAGAGGGUGAUCGGCCACACUGGAACUGAGACACGGUCCAGACUCCUACGGGAGGCAGCAGUAGGGAAUCUUCCGCAAUGGGCGAAAGCCUGACGGAGCAACGCCGCGUGAGUGAUGAAGGUCUUCGGAUCGUAAAACUCUGUUAUUAGGGAAGAACAUAUGUGUAAGUAACUGUGCACAUCUUGACGGUACCUAAUCAGAAAGCCACGGCUAACUACGUGCCAGCAGCCGCGGUAAUACGUAGGUGGCAAGCGUUAUCCGGAAUUAUUGGGCGUAAAGCGCGCGUAGGCGGUUUUUUAAGUCUGAUGUGAAAGCCCACGGCUCAACCGUGGAGGGUCAUUGGAAACUGGAAAACUUGAGUGCAGAAGAGGAAAGUGGAAUUCCAUGUGUAGCGGUGAAAUGCGCAGAGAUAUGGAGGAACACCAGUGGCGAAGGCGACUUUCUGGUCUGUAACUGACGCUGAUGUGCGAAAGCGUGGGGAUCAAACAGGAUUAGAUACCCUGGUAGUCCACGCCGUAAACGAUGAGUGCUAAGUGUUAGGGGGUUUCCGCCCCUUAGUGCUGCAGCUAACGCAUUAAGCACUCCGCCUGGGGAAUACGACCCAAGGUUGAAA